GUGCCUAAUAGAAAAAAAAAAAAAACAACAACAUAGGGCAGGUUGAGCUAAAGAGUAUAUGUACAUACGUUACAUUUUACACACUUCUGUCUUCAUUCCCUUUCCUUAGAUGACAUCUUAAGAAUACUGUGUCUCCUCCUGGCAUUCACUUUUUUACUCCAUAAUGAAGACCUAUAAUUACCUAUAAUUAAGAUAGUUAUGUAAUCGUAUAAUUUUAAAUAAAGUUGACCAUAUGCAUUCACUAAGAUUACUCUCAUAAAUCAUGUUGCUACCCAUACCAAUUGGAAGAAAAUGGGUUCGUUCUCGUAAGUUGUGCACAUCAGUUGUCUGACUGUCAAGACACCCGAACAGUGAAAACAAGUAUGCUUUAUGGAUAUAUUUACUAAGAGUGAGAAGAGGUUGAAAAAAUAAUUUAUCUGUGCAUUGCCUUUUUCAGAGAUUCAACAAGAAUGACACUUGUUCCGAUACUCUUUAGACAUUAAAAAUCAAUAAUUCAAUAAGCGUGUAUUGCCAAUAUAUCAUAAAUGUAAGGAUGAUGAAUGAAGUCCAUGUGAAUUGCCUACAGACACAUUUAAUUUGUAAUCUAGAAGGAAAGUUUUGCAUUUGAUUUUUUAUUUUGUCUUACAAAUACCUGAAGAGAUCAAGCUACUUCUCUUCCUCUGGAAUGCUGCUUUCCAGAAAAGGACAUAUUUUAUUGAAUACCAUGAUAAGGAAUUAGGUCAAAAUCCUACAGCUUCUUUAAGAUGUAAAUCUACUGUCUGAGACAAUAUGAAACUCUAUGUAAGUUAAUAUUAACGAUCAAAUAGAAAUUUAUAAUGUAAAUCAUUUAGAUUAUCCAAACUACAUCAGGAUUUAUUUCUCUUGGCUUUUAAAUCUUAACAUGGCCUCAAAUGGAUCUUUCUUAGAGCCAAUGUUACAUACUGAACUGCUUAUAAACAUUGAUAUUCUGACCUAUAUAUGACUUGAGAUAUUCUACAUGAAGUUUGUAGCUAUUCAUAAGUAUACUUGCCCUCUAUUGGAAAACUGUAAAAGCAGAAUAGAUAGAUAGAUAGAUAGAUACUAAGAAUUGUAUAAACCUGGUUCGAAUCAUUGACCUGACAUCUAAUACCCCUGUGGCCUUUCACCUUGGCUAAAUUGUUAGGUAUUCUAUUCUUUUUGAUGCAGUUGGAAUUGGGAUUGUUUGCUUAAUCUCUCUUUCUGAUAGGCCAUUAUUAGUGUAUAGAAAUACAAUAGAUUUCUGUAUAUUUUGUGUCUUCACCAUAUGAUGAAUUUAUUCAUUCUAACAGUUUUUUAGUGGAUUCCUUAGGUUUAUCUAUAUAUAAUGUCAUCUACAAAUAAAUAAUGGUUUUAUUUCUUUCCAGUAUGGAUGCCUUUUUCUUGCCUAAUUGCUCUCAGUAGGACUGCCAAUACUAUGUUGGAAAAAAGUGGCAAGACUAGGUAAGCAUUCUUAUAUUGUUCCUGAUCUUUGAGGAAAAGCUUUCAGCUUUUCACCCUUAAGUAUGAUAUUAGCUGGAGGUUUGUCAUAUGUGGCCUUUAUUAUGUUAAGUUACAUUUUUUUACAUGACUUUGAUUCAGAGUUUUAAUAAAAAUGCAUGUUGAAUUUUUGUCAA